CCUACGGGAGGCAGCAGUGAGGAAUAUUGGUCAAUGGACGAGAGUCUGAACCAGCCAAGUAGCGUGAAGGAUGACUGCCCUAUGGGUUGUAAACUUCUUUUAUAUGGGAAUAAAACGUUCCACGUGUGGGAUUUUGUAUGUACCAUAUGAAUAAGGAUCGGCUAACUCCGUGCCAGCAGCCGCGGUAAUACGGAGGAUCCGAGCGUUAUCCGGAUUUAUUGGGUUUAAAGGGAGCGUAGGUGGAUUUGUAAGUCAGGUGUGAAAGUUUGUGGCUCAACCGUAAAAUUGCAGUUGAGACUAGCAGUCUAGAGUACAGUAGAGGUGGGCGGAAUUCGUGGUGUAGCGGUGAAAUGCGUAGAUAUAACGAAGAACACCGAUUGCGAAGGCAGUUCACUGGACUGCAACUGACACUGAGGCGCGAAAGCGUGGGGAGCAAACAGGAUUAGAUACCCCAGUAGUC
rnacentral:rRNA from 1 species